CUCCGCGGAUACCUUGAGGUCGCUGAACACACGGAAAAUAAAAGCCGCCAUGUUGGUGGUCCUGUUCAUGUGUUUUCGGGUCACUUUGGAGUGAAACAGUUUGCUGGUUUACAGGACGGACAGGGUUGGACGAUGAAACUGAAACACUGGUCGUUAUAGUUUUGCAGGUUUCGCAUCUACAUACACUCGAUCUGGUGGACAGUCUUCACCGAUUCCAUAAGAGCAGAGUGUGAAGGUUGAAUCAGCAGAGCAGUAACACACCUGCAGCUUAAACACUGCAGUCCACACAACAUAAUGGGAGAUAUAUCCGAGUUCAAAAGAGGACAAAUCGUUGGUGCUCGUCUCGCUGGAGCAUCUGUGAGCAGGACAGCAAGUCUUUGUGAUGUAUCGAGAGCCACAGUGUCCAAAGUAAUGACUGCAUACGUUCUCGAAGGACGAACUACGUCUAAGAGGAGUAACUGUCGACGUAAGAGGAAACUGUCAGAAAAGGACGUCCAGGUACUAAUCCAGAUCGUAUCCAGAAACCCUGAAACCACGGCUGCCAAAAUCACUGCAGAAUUAAACACACACCUCAACUCUCCUGUUUCCACCAAAACUGUUCGGCGGGAGCUCCACAGGGCCAAUAUAUACGGUGGUGCUCAAAAAAAAAAACUUGAAUGUUUAAAAAUCUGUUCUUAAGUGUGUAUUUCAUUGUGCUCAUAAAAUGUUUAGGAAACUUCCUUUUAAAAGGGUGUGACAGACACCAUGGUGAAGGAAUCUCACUGGAUUCUAAUCUCAGGUCAUUGAGUAUUUUUGUUCACAUGAUGUUUUGUCUUGUUUUUCUCAUGUUUUAGCCUUGACUGUUAUCUAUAAGCUCUAAACUCUAAAGCUUGUCCUUCUGCAUCCACACAUCAGCAAUAAAGCCAGAUGUGUCCCAUUUAGACACAGAUUUCCUUAUAUAGAGCAUCAAUACACUGUUGUGGGUUUAUUUUCAGGCUCUUGGUUUCUUGUUUCUUCCUUCAGCGGAUGAAAAGUCACUGUUUUUGAACAAGAAGAAGAACACAGACAAUAAAAAGUUUGUCAUCAGUAAGGACUCAUCAACCACCAACAUGGCGAUUGUAACAGCCCAUUGUUCAUCAGGACCUUUAGGUGUUCAGACAUGUUCCUGAUCAAUAAAUAAAAGGCGCACGAGGCCUGUUAACAUGACGGGGUUUUAAGAGUUUUUUUGUUUUUCAUUUCUUUACUAACUUUAAAUCAGUUCCGAAAUGAAGUUGUUGAUUUAAAAAAAUGCCUAACAGUGUUUUUCUCGUGAUGGGUUGCCGCAGUACGAGUGUAUUUUAUUAUAAUCAGGCAUCAUCAGCGGAUACCUUGAGGUCCUUGAAGACCUGGUAGAUAAAAGCCGCCAUGUUGAAGGUCCCAGUCUUUCUGUUUCCGAGUGGUGCAACUUGCUCGUUAACUGAACGGACACUGAACGCUCUUUCUGAAGGACAGCAUGGACGGUGAUUAAGACUGAAGACUACGUUGGAAAAUACAAGUAUAGAAGAAUGAAUUUUAUUUCUAGUUUCUGAAAUCAGCUUGAUGUCUCCUUGAUCUGAAGUGUGUGUGUAUGAGUCUUAAUAAAGUCCUCCAUUUUAAAUAAUGA